UUUCAUUUCCAGAAUUAAAGGUGUUAGAGCUUCGUGGAGUACCGAAGCUCAAAUGUUUUUGUUCGGGAGCGUAUGACUAUGAUAUCAUGGUCUCGUCAAUGGAAGAGUGUCUAAAUAUGGGAACCUUUCCCCAUGGAAAUGUUAUUGUAAACACACCCAACCUUCAUAAACUAAAAUUGGAUUGGAUUGAUACGUACACACAUGGAGACCUUAAUAUGAUAAUAUAUUAUCUUCAAAAUUCAGAGAAAUUCAAGGUAGAAUUGCAAAAAUUAAAGACAUUUGUUUCAUAUUGAUGUGCGUCAAUGCGAGAAGAUGAAAGCGAUCAUUGGGAAUAAUUGUGUACAACAGAAGGCUAAGAAGAUCAUAUUCCCAUCAUUGCAGUUUAUUGAACUAGAAAAUCUUCCCAACCUCAAAUGUUUCGGUCAAAGUUCUCUCCCUUCCUAUGUUGAGUUGCCACAGUUUUACAAAAUACGGAUUGAAGACUGUCAAGAGUUGAAAACUUUUUGGGACGAUGGAAUUGUAUACACACAAAGCAAUUUUAUAAUUUCUAUGGAAGAUUCUUAUUUUUGUGAUGAAUUGGGUCUGAAUGAGUCCAUACAACAACACAGUAAAUUGCAAUGAAGGCAAGUGUUGUUGUGAAGUUUGAAUUUCUAUCUCUUCACUAAAUGCAUAUAUUGUUGCCUUGUUCACUCCUUGAUGUGACACCUUUAAUCCAACCCUUGAGGUUGUUCUUCGACAAGGGAUAAUGUCAUUUUUAUUUGCAAGGGAACAUGGUCUGCAUCCUGAUAUUUUAAGCAUGUGAUUUCUAAUUCAAAUCCAGAUGCUACAUUACAUAUAUAUGCUUGAACAUUUUAGAGAAAUUGACUUCCUCCCUCUGAGCAACUAAAAUACUUUUGGUGCCGAGUUUGAGCAAAACACUUCAACAAACUCAUGGUGCCAAGGCUAGUUGUGUGGUCCAUUAUGUAUGAUCAUAUUUAAGGUUAAUGAAAGUGUUGGCUACAUUCUUAAGGAUUUAAGUUGUUACUUGUGUAGUUGUAGU